GGGGUAAUUAAGGAAUCAGAGAGAUCGAGGGGUUAAGGAGGAAUUAUUUAAUUAUUUAGGUGCACCGACCCAGUCGGAUUAACAUCAAAAGGACUGAGCCUCGAACAGAGAGUCAAGCUACCUUUUAAGCAUUUUUUGGGGCAGGGGGAGAUCUAUGCAGGGGGAAGCAUGUUACAGAAGCGAGAAACAAAGACAGUUAUUCAAUUAAGACAUGCAUUACAUUAUUUCUUACUUUUCAAGGAACAACAUGUUUUACGACUUGACAUUAUCUGUCUAGUGACCUUGCAGCUGCACAGCUAGAGAAACAGAGUCUUCACAAUGCCUGGGAAAGGGAGAGAUAAGGUCCACUAGCCACAGAAAAACAGGCAGUUAAUUUUAAAGGACUCCAGCUCUUUCUCUUCUUCAGGGGGAAUUGAGUUUUCUUACAUACAACUGAGUUUUUGCUUACACAUUCUUUAAUUUCUUUUAAUUCCUAUUUCAGUCUGACUGAAAUUAGAGGAGCUACCUGGCUGCAUACAUUACUGAUUCCCCGCCAACGUGUUUCUAUGUUCUUUGAAAGACAAUGUAAUUGUGCCUUACUUGAAGUAAAUUGAUGUGAUCUCCACAGUCAUCCCAUAAAAUAUUCACUAUCAUUAUCACUAUCAUUAUAAUCUGGCUCAAAGGCCAGAUUAAGAUGGUCAAAUAAAUUAGUUUGUUAAACCAAUUUAAAACACACAGUCUUAGCUUUGUACAGUGGAAAUAUGGUAGCCAAUGAGGUUUAUCCUAGGUUAUUGCUAAUUGAAAACUUUUUCCAAUACCCUGCCAUGACAACUUGCAAGAUAGUCAGCACUGGCAAUUUUUGACAGUCACUAUGGAGACUGAAUUGUUUUAGAAAAAAGUGGGAAGCAAGGGGAAAGAGAUUCAGUAGGUGAACACAUUUAGAUCAUGCAGGUGAAAGGACCACACUACUGUGGGUCACUCAAUGUUCACAUGUUCUGCCUCUCUCUCUGCCUCAUCUGCCUUCUCCAAAGAUGGCAUGGUUACAAGAACCAGAGUGUAGGUAAGAAUGUUCAGAGAUGGAAAGUUCAUGGUGCCAGUCUAUGUUUGCUCUAUCAAAAAGACUGAGGUUGCUGAGUGCUGUGGCUCACACCUGUAAUUCCAACACUUUGGAAGAUUGAAGCACGCAGAGUACUUGAGUCCAGGAGUUCAAGAACAGCCUGGGCAACAUGGCGAGACCACGUCUCUACAAAAAAUUUAAAAAAAAAUUAGCUGGGCAUGAUGGUGCGUGCUUGUAGUCCCAACUACCCGGGAGGAUGAGGUGGGAGGAUCACCUGAGACCUGAAGGUUGAGGCUGCAGUGAGCAGGCAAUGAGUCAUGAUUGUGCCACUGCACUCCAGCCUGGACGACAGAGCAAGAUCCUGUCCCCAAACAAUAAAAAUAAUAAAAAGAUAGAGGUAAGUAUGAGCUACACCUAUAGCUCAGCAAUGACCUGAUGAGCAGCAGUAUACAUUUUAAGCACAAAACAAGUGGGUUAGAAUGGAUGAUACCAAUGGGUGGUCAAUUUGAGGCAACAAGACUGAUCCAUGCUUUAUGAAUAUUUAAGGUUUAUUUUGCUUUCCAUCUCUGUUUACAAGUAACACUCUUGUUUGUUUUGUCCUUUUAACGUAUGUCUAAGAAGUAAAUAUCUAUUCUAUGUUUAACAUGUUUCAUGGGUUAAUGAUUUACUUAUUAUCUGUACUUAACAUAUGAACUGAUGUAACAUAUACUUACAGAUAAGUUUCAUCUAUCCCAUUUGUUUUUCCUAUUCUUUAGGGCAGAAUUGAAAAUUCUUAAAUAAUACAGCAAAUGCAUGUUACAUUAUGGAUAAAAAAUCUGAGGCACAGGCCAGUAAGUCCCUUCCACAAAGUCCCCACAACUUUGCCAAGGGCAUGAAAAAGUCAGGUUUCAAAUACAAAACAUCUGGCCCCAGAGCCCAAUUUUUUUUUUUUUUUUUUUUUAGUGACAGGGUCUUGCUCUGCUGCCAGGCUGGAGUGCAAUGGCAUGCUCAUGGCUCACUGCAGCCUUGACUUCCUGGGCUCAAGGCUCAAGUGGUCCUCCUUGCCUUUGGCCUCCCAAAGUGCUGAGAUUAUAGGCCUGAGCCACCAUGCCCGGCCUCAGACCCCACUUCUUAAUCAUCAUCCUAAACUGAUUCCUAAUUUGCCUGAGAAAACACGGCUGCUAAAUCUAACCUUAAGUCCAGUGCUCUUCGUGCUAAUUACUCUUUGUGUAUAAGUACUCUCCGGCCAGGAGAUCUGUCUUGUUGAUCUCUGCAUUCUUACCACCAAGCACAGAGCCCGGGCAAAUACUUGUUGACCAAGAAAAUAUCUCAUUUUAUGCCUUUUGUUUUUCUUUUGGGUUAAAUGUGCAGAAUAAUUCCAAUUUAACAUUUAAGAAAAUUUAAACUUUGGCAUUUAAAGUUAAAUUACCUUAGGUAUUUGAUUUAAGACUGAUUAACCUAAAGAAAUAUCUAGUUGCUACAGAGUAAAAGAUAAGGAUCUAUGAACUGAGAUCUAGCAUCGAUUGUGAAACUAACCCUUUUAAAGGGCUUGUUUCUCUGUGCUUCACUUUCUCUAGGAGGAAAAUGGUCCUAGUAACUCUUAUCUAUUCCCUUCACCAGGAAUUGUUACAUUGUCUAUUCUUCCUAUUACUAGCAUAUCUUUAAAAAAAUGGUUUCUGCUUUAUCAGUUAGAUAUUAUUAAAAAAUGUAAGUCUGUCUAUAAAUUCAUAAAAUCAAUGAACCAUAAACAUAUUUACAUGAUAUUAAAAAUAACAUAUUUUUAUAUCCUUUUAAAGACACAUUUUAUGCUACAUUUGGACAUGUUUAACAUCCUGUAAUUUACUAAAUAUCCUACAAUUUUCCUCAUUCAUUUGACUUUUGUGAGAGGAAAAAAACAGCCUUCUGAAAGAAGUUAACACACAUUAUAUGCUACUAAAAUAUUUUAAUGCCUCAUUUGUUCCACAUUUAUUUAUAUGUUUAUUGGCAUGUUUAUUUCCCCACUUAUGUAAAUAGUGUUUCUCUGUAGGAAGUUGGCAAUAAUCUCAAUAGAUACAUGACUAGAACUCAAUGUAGUGGGUGAUUAAUCCUGGCUACCCAUCAGAAUCACCUGAGACACUUAAAAAAACAAAACCGAUGCCCCAGUCCUACCUCAAACAAUUUAAGUCAAUAUUUCUAGGGCUGGAAUUGGGACAUCUCUAUUUUUAAGAACUUCUCAGAUAUUCUACAAAAUACUUGACCAGCACUUUUCAACACUGUCAAGGUCAUCAUAAACAAGGAAUGUCUAAAAAACUGCCACAGUGUCAGAGGAGGUGAAGGAGACAUGAUAACCGAAUGUUAUGUGGUACCCUAAGUGAGAUCCUGGAAUAGAGAAAUAACAUUAAGGGAAAACUACUGAAAUCCAAAU
rnacentral:lncRNA from 1 species